rnacentral:rRNA from 1 species
AAACGUUUUCUGUAUCCAGGAUUAGCCUAAAUCCUUUGGGAUAAGGUAUCAUGGAGGGUGAGAAUCCCGUUCAUGGUUAAUCUUAAGGAAGCUCUACGAUACGUUUUCCAAGAGUCGAGUUGUUUGGGAUUGCAGCUCAAAAUGGGAGGUAAAUUUCUCCUAAGGCUAAAUAUUGGCGAGAGACCGAUAGCGAACAAGUACCGUGAGGGAAAGAUGAAAAGAACUUUGAAAAGAGAGUUAAACAGUACGUGAAAUUGUUGAAAGGGAAACGAUUGAAGUCAGUCAUACCAACGGGAAAUCAACCUUUUGAGCUUGGUUUCGUGGGUUUUGAGGAGUUUCAAAGCCUUCGGAUUCGCGAGAUUGGGAUCUCUUGGUGUACUUUUUCGCACGGUUAGUCAACAUCGGUUUUGAAUGUCAUAAAAUGACUGGAGGAAUGUAGCUUCGAUCUCGUAUUGAAGUGUUAUAGCCUUUGGUAGAUGUGAUGUUUGAGACCGAGGAUUGCAACGGAUACCCUUUAGGGCUAUUCGUCUGAUCUCUGAUACGUUGCCCAGAUGUUGAAAGCUUGC